rnacentral:rRNA from 1 species
GAUGAACGCUGGCGGCGUGCCUAAUACAUGCAAGUCGAGCGAACGGACGAGAAGCUUGCUUCUCUGAUGUUAGCGGCGGACGGGUGAGUAACACGUGGAUAACCUACCUAUAAGACUGGGAUAACUUCGGGAAACCGGAGCUAAUACCGGAUAAUAUUUUGAACCGCAUGGUUCAAAAGUGAAAGACGGUCUUGCUGUCACUUAUAGAUGGAUCCGCGCUGCAUUAGCUAGUUGGUAAGGUAACGGCUUACCAAGGCAACGAUGCAUAGCCGACCUGAGAGGGUGAUCGGCCACACUGGAACUGAGACACGGUCCAGACUCCUACGGGAGGCAGCAGUAGGGAAUCUUCCGCAAUGGGCGAAAGCCUGACGGAGCAACGCCGCGUGAGUGAUGAAGGUCUUCGGAUCGUAAAACUCUGUUAUUAGGGAAGAACAUAUGUGUAAGUAACUGUGCACAUCUUGACGGUACCUAAUCAGAAAGCCACGGCUAACUACGUGCCAGCAGCCGCGGUAAUACGUAGGUGGCAAGCGUUAUCCGGAAUUAUUGGGCGUAAAGCGCGCGUAGGCGGUUUUUUAAGUCUGAUGUGAAAGCCCACGGCUCAACCGUGGAGGGUCAUUGGAAACUGGAAAACUUGAGUGCAGAAGAGGAAAGUGGAAUUCCAUGUGUAGCGGUGAAAUGCGCAGAGAUAUGGAGGAACACCAGUGGCGAAGGCGACUUUCUGGUCUGUAACUGACGCUGAUGUGCGAAAGCGUGGGGAUCAAACAGGAUUAGAUACCCUGGUAGUCCACGCCGUAAACGAUGAGUGCUAAGUGUUAGGGGGUUUCCGCCCCUUAGUGCUGCAGCUAACGCAUUAAGCACUCCGCCUGGGGAGUACGACCGCAAGGUUGAAACUCAAAGGAAUUGACGGGGACCCGCACAAGCGGUGGAGCAUGUGGUUUAAUUCGAAGCAACGCGAAGAACCUUACCAAAUCUUGACAUCCUUUGACGACUCUAGAGAUAGAGCCUUCCCCUUCGGGGGACAAAGUGACAGGUGGUGCAUGGUUGUCGUCAGCUCGUGUCGUGAGAUGUUGGGUUAAGUCCCGCAACGAGCGCAACCCUUAAGCUUAGUUGCCAUCAUUAAGUUGGGCACUCUAAGUUGACUGCCGGUGACAAACCGGAGGAAGGUGGGGAUGACGUCAAAUCAUCAUGCCCCUUAUGAUUUGAGCUACACACGUGCUACAAUGGACAAUACAAAGGGCAGCGAAACCGCGAGGUCAAGCAAAUCCCAUAAAGUUGUUCUCAGUUCGGAUUGUAGUCUGCAACUCGACUACAUGAAGCUGGAAUCGCUAGUAAUCGUAGAUCAGCAUGCUACGGUGAAUACGUUCCCGGGUCU